UACGUAGGGUGCAAGCGUUGUCCGGAAUUAUUGGGCGUAAAGAGCUCGUAGGCGGUUUGUCACGUCUGCUGUGAAAAUCCAAGGCUCAACCUUGGACUUGCAGUGGGUACGGGCAGGCUAGAGUGCGGUAGGGGAGAUGGGAAUUCCUGGUGUAGCGGUGGAAUGCGCAGAUAUCAGGAGGAACACCAAUGGCGAAGGCACAUCUCUGGGCCGUAACUGACGCUGAGGAGCGAAAGCGUGGGGAGCGAACAGGAUUAGAUACCCUGGUAGUCCACGCCGUAAACGGUGGGUGCUAGCUGUGGGCCACAUUCCACGUGGUCCGUGACGAAGUUAACACAUUAAGCACCCCGCCUGGGGAGUACGGCCGCAAGGCUAAAACUCAAAGGAAUUGACGGGGGCCCGCACAAGCGGCGGAGCAUGCGGAUUAAUUCGAUGCAACGCGAAGAACCUUACCAAGGCUUGACAUAUAGAGGAAAAGUGCAGAAAUGCACUCCCCGCAAGGUCUCUAUACAGGUGGUGCAUGGUUGUCGUCAGCUCGUGUCGUGAGAUGUUGGGUUAAGUCCCGCAACGAGCGCAACCCUCGUCCUAUGUUGCCAGCACGUAAUGGUGGGAACUCAUGGGAUACUGCCGGGGUCAACUCGGAGGAAGGUGGGGAUGACGUCAAAUCAUCAUGCCCCUUAUGUCUUGGGCUUCACGCAUGCUACAAUGGCCGGUACAGAGGGCUGCAAUACCGCAAGGUGGAGCGAAUCCCAAAAAGCCGGUCUCAGUUCGGAUUGAGGUCUGCAACUCGACCUCAUGAAGUCGGAGUCGCUAGUAAUCGUAGAUCAGCAACGCUACGGUGAAUACGUUCCCGGGCCU
rnacentral:rRNA from 1 species